CAGCCUCUUUCAAUCCCUGACCCUACAUUCAGGCACACUCAACCAGCCAUCUUCAGAUAUGCCGAAGACUCUUUUGUUCUCCCUGCUCUUGGAAAGAUCUGCUCACAGAAUCCUACAGUGAGACACAGGGGAUGUCAUGGGAAUUAGCACAAAGGUUACAGGGUGCUCCUGACACAUGAAGAGGUCCUCACUGCACGUGACAGAACAAAUCCACUUCAACAGAAGGGAGGUCAGCUCCUAGCAAUGGGUUCCAGGCCCGUGACACCUUGUGCCCUGGCAAGUUGCACCCCAAGGACCCUGAGAUUGAGAAUCCUGAUGUCAGUGGCACCAGCUCUCAGGCUCUGGCCCUUGUCAUGGUCCCACAGCAUGGGUUUAAUUGCCGUUCAAGCAACACUUUGCAGCUGGCAACCCCAAGUGUCUGGGAUGAGUCUCCAUUCUUCCAAGGCAACUCAGGCUUUUGAAGACACGCAGGAUUGUCUAUCAGUGACGAAUACUUCAACAUAUAUCAGAUGGAAAUUGUUUAGGCAUUCAUUUUGACUUCCUGCCUCCUUCCCUUCAUUAAUGUAUUUAUUCAUGCAUUUUCUUUUCCAAAUAGGAUUUCUUCUGAGAAUUAAGUCUAGCACCUGCAGCAUCUCCGCAUUUCAACACAAUCAGCAUUCAAAUAUCUCCACUGCAAUACGUUUGGAAGACAUGAUAACAAACAACCUAUUUAAGAACUUCAUUAAACAAUCACUUUAUUAAUGGUGGCAAGAAUAUUAAUAAAAAGAGCAACAAUGUAUAUAAAAAUCACCUCCAAACAUAACAAAAAUUAUUAAA
rnacentral:lncRNA from 1 species